AUGAACGGCAGUGUGCUCCACCUACUCAUCUCUAUACAAUCUUUUUCAUCGGCCUCGAAUAGAUUCAGUUCUUUUGGAUGGGUCAGCAGCCUCCCCUUCAGCAUGGGCGCUCAUGUUGAUGGAGCUAGCACCCACGCCUUUAGUGCCAUCUACAUCCACCAAGUCACCCUAGCUGACUAUAGGAGCACCAUCCGCAGCUUCUUUCUGUCACAACACAGUAGUGGUAAGGGUCUCAGGAGCACUCAAGAUGAUGGAGGAAGCGCCUCCCUUAACCCCUACAUCAGCCUGAUCCGGCUCGUUCACCCACCUAGACACGAUGUCCAUCCCAGCAUCAUUGAGAGGCCCCUGUCCUGGGAACCUGCAGCCCCAGCGUCUCCUCCCCACAAUUCUACACACCAGCAGAAGUGGGAAACAAAGGCGCCGCAGCGAUCGCCAGGCCUAAGGCAUUUGUCUUUUUUAAUAGAAAAGGGAGACCAAGGCCCAAGGAGGUGGAGCACAAUAAACCCCAAAAUUCGAUAUAACAUUUCAGAUACGUACGCCGCCGUCGUCAUCCGGCUGGAUCUCCACCACUACGGGACGAUGGCAAAGAGGUCCAGGAAGAAGAAGGAUCAGCCGGCGGCGGCGGCAGAGAACCUCCCCGAUGAUCUCCUCGUGGAGGUUCUUGCGCGGGUGCCGUACAGAUCCCUCUGCCGCUUCAAGUGCGUGUCCAAACCAUGGCUCGCCCUCUGCUCCGACCCCGGCAUCUGGAAGAGGUCGCCGCAGGCCCUAUCGGGCUUCUUCUGCUACGCCUGCGACGACCAGAAGCACGAGCUCCGCUUCCUCGGCCUGCCGGGGCGAGGCCAGCCCCUCGUCGACCCCGGCCUCCCCUUCCUGCGCGGCGCGUGGGACGGGGGCGUCCAGACCGUGGACUGCUGCGGCGGCCUCCUCCUUUGCCAAUGCUGGAAGAGACCUUCUCGAGCCGGCUCCGCCGGCGUGGAGUACGUCGUGUGCAACCUGGCCACCAAGGAGUGGACCAUCGUGCCUGCCACCAAGCAGCUGCACCCGAGCAAGAAGAACACCGUCCGCUUGGGUUUUGACCCACUCGUCCCCUCCCGCUUUGCCGUGUUCGUGCUCGUGCGUGGCCACGGGGUCACCAGAGUGGAGAUCUUCUCAUCGGAAACCGGGAGGUGGAUUUCCAAGGAGAGCGAGUGGGGCGACCGCACCAGCGUGGACGAUCACAAUUGUUCAGCCUCUGUCUUCUUCGGUGGGGCGCUGCAUCUGACAACCAGCGAUUCUUCCUUGAUCACGGUGGACACCGAGGGGAAUACUUGGCGGCAAAUCCGAAUGUCGCUCAGCCUAGAGGACACCUCGGAUUACGGUUAUAUCGCGCAGUCUCAGGGACGCCUGUAUGCAAUGCAUAUGGAUUACUGCAAUGAUAAGUGCGAGCUCUCAGUGUGGGUUCUUGAAGAUUAUGCUAGUGGGCAGUGGACUUUGAAGCAUACAGCUGACAUGUCGGGAAUGAUAGGCCACGAUGAGAUUGCUACUAUAUGGAGGGCUGGGCGAAUUGAUAUCUGUGUGGGCUGCGAUUUCCCCAGAAGGUUCAUAUUUUCGAGCUCUCCUCCACUCAGAGGCGCCUCCACCGCCCUUAUUCCCUUCCGACCAGCGACGGGCCCUAUCCUACUAGCCGCACCUCCCCCUCUCUAUCGGCCGCACCUUUCUUCUCCCGAGGAUCGUCGCCCUAACUUUCUUGUGUCGCUCAAGCUUGAACGCGGUUUUUGCACGCGCAUGACAUCCAGCCUGGGACGACCUGGACGGCGGCGUGUGCAGGGGGUCCCGUGUGGCGGCCACACUCAAACUUGCCCCUAUGCUAGCGCCGUCUCCUCCCCCAUCCUAGCCCCUGGUGCGGUUGCAGCGGCCACAAAAUCCGGCGUCUGUGCCACCCCGUGGACGCCCCUAUCUGAGGUGCACGUCGGGUGUCACCGUGAACGUCUCGACGUCAGUGCCAUAGCCUGCGCCGAGCGAGGGGCGAUGGAGCCUGCAGGCGAUGCGAGAUCAGCCAAAAAGAUGGGGGUUCAGUACCUCCCACACGCGACGGCGCACAGGCUUAGAUGUGUGUUGCGCUCUCAUUCUCAUUUGUUUAGCCAAGUUCAAAUGUCGUCUCUCAGUGAUGUUGUUGCUCUCGUGGCCAGCGCUGCGGCGCCCGGGCUCAUCGUCUCCUUCGGUGAAAUUCUGAUUGACAUUGUGUCCGACGUACCCGGUGUCUCGCUUGCCGAGUCCGCGGGCUUCGUGAAGGCGCCCGCCAACGUCGCAUGCGCCGUCUCCGAGCUUGGCAAAUCCUUCGCCUUCGUCGGCAAGAACAUACAAGGCCUCCUUUGGUUUGUUGGAAUUUUAUAG
rnacentral:rRNA from 1 species